rnacentral:rRNA from 1 species
CAGUCGCCGCGGGAAUACAGAGGGUGCAAGCGUUAAUCGGAAUUACUGGGCGUAAAGCGCGCGUAGGUGGUUUGUUAAGUUGGAUGUGAAAGCCCCGGGCUCAACCUGGGAACUGCAUCCAAAACUGGCAAGCUAGAGUACGGUAGAGGGUGGUGGAAUUUCCUGUGUAGCGGUGAAAUGCGUAGAUAUAGGAAGGAACACCAGUGGCGAAGGCGACCACCUGGACUGAUACUGACACUGAGGUGCGAAAGCGUGGGGAGCAAACAGGAUUAGAUACCCGGUAGUCCCUGUCUCUUAUACC